GUUCUACUUCCAUGAGUCUGAAGGAGCCACAUCAAAUUAAUAUGCUAGGACGCCAAAGUAGUGGAGACAAGAGGUUUAUUGAUUGAUUAUCUGAUGUUGAAAGGCUUAGGUUCUUAUCGUAAAUGGCUUGUAUUUUGUGUGUUACAUUUAUUGAUAUUAGGAUGGUUCUCCUUCAGGCUCUUGGAAAGCGUUCGCCUGUAUCUGUGUUGUAUUUUUUGGAGAGAUUCUAGUCUGAUUCUAGUCGUUUGAUUGUACAGUAUGUCUGUCGUGUAUGGUUGCUUUAUUGUUUUUCUGGGAUUAAGUCAUCUUGGUGCAGUAAUUGGUACUGUGUUGGUAGAAAAACCUACCAUAUUCCUUUUUGCGCUUGCUGUGGUAUCUUUUUGACUAUAGUUUGAGAUUAACUGGGUGUUAAAGCUUAGUAGGGGGUAAAUCCCGUACGCAUACUGAAACCUUGAACUCAAACUGAAUCUUUGUCGUUCUUUAAGUGCCUUGUUAAACUUGUUUGUAAAGGUAUGUUCGCCGUAUGCUGAUUGAUGUCUGAGUACAACGAAGCUGUUCUGAUGAUAUUAUUAUGUCUUCUUUACCCGUCCUAUCGACUAUGACGAUAACUUUGUCUCCACUAUAGGUGGAGACCAUACUUGCCAGUAUCUUCGAUGUCUGAAUUGUUUUCGUUGUUCCA